CAGUAGAACGCUGAAGAGAGGAGCUUGCUCUUCUUGGAUGAGUUGCGAACGGGUGAUUAACGCGUAGGUAACCUGCCUUGUAGCGGGGGAUAACUAUUGGAAACGAUAGCUAAUACCGCAUAACAAUGGAUGACACAUGUCAUUUAUUUGAAAGGGGCAAUUGCUCCACUACAAGAUGGACCUGCGUUGUAUUAGCUAGUAGGUGAGGUAAUGGCUCACCUAGGCGACGAUACAUAGCCGACCUGAGAGGGUGAUCGGCCACACUGGGACUGAGACACGGCCCAGACUCCUACGGGAGGCAGCAGUAGGGAAUCUUCGGCAAUGGGGGCAACCCUGACCGAGCAACGCCGCGUGAGUGAAGAAGGUUUUCGGAUCGUAAAGCUCUGUUGUAAGUCAAGAACGGGUGUGAGAGUGGAAAGUUCACACUGUGAUGGUAGCUUACCAGAAAGGGACGGCUAACUACGUGCCAGCAGCCGCGGUAAUACGUAGGUCCCGAGCGUUGUCCGGAUUUAUUGGGCGUAAAGCGAGCGCAGGCGGUUUGAUAAGUCUGAAGUUAAAGGCUGUGGCUCAACCACAGUUCGCUUUGGAAACUGUCAAACUUGAGUGCAGAAGGGGAGAGUGGAAUUCCAUGUGUAGCGGUGAAAUGCGUAGAUAUAUGGAGGAACACCGGUGGCGAAAGCGGCUCUCUGGUCUGUAACUGACGCUGAGGCUCGAAAGCGUGGGGAGCGAACAGGAUUAGAUACCCUGGUAGUCCACGCCGUANACGAUGAGUGCUAGGUGUUGGAUCCNUUCCGGGAUUCAGUGCCGAAGCUAACGC
rnacentral:rRNA from 1 species